GGGUGGGCUUUGAAACCCUCCUGCUAGCCACAUGGCAUCCAGUCGGCUCCUGGAUUCCUUUGGAUGAAGGAGUUGCCUUGGUCAUGGUGUCUGUUCACAGCAGUGGAAACCCUAAUUCAGACAGUAACCUAGCAGCCUCCCCUGACUCUAAACAACAUGAUGGGCUGACAGAUAAUGUCUUUCUCGCUGGAGGUCUUGGCCACCCCCAAACCCAGCUGAAGAGGGAAUUGGUCUGGAGCAAAGCCUGUGAGCCAAAGGUGUGUGUGCUGAUCCGAGGAUGGAGUCUUCUGACCGAGGUGAAGUCUAUUGUCCUGCCACAUCUGCAGCUUCCUGCAAGAAGCCACUACCUGCUGAGCAGCUGAGCUUGCUUUCCUGACGAGAUGCUGACAAAGCAGGAAGGAGAUCCUGGCAAAGAGGGGGAUGGAUUUCCCCCCCUUUAAAAAUUCAGACUCAAGAAUUAAAGUUGAACCUUGAUCAGA
ensembl:lincRNA Platr5 pluripotency associated transcript 5